AUUGAACGCUGGCGGCAUGCUUUACACAUGCAAGUCGAACGGCAGCGCGGGCUUCGGCCUGGCGGCGAGUGGCGAACGGGCGAGUAAUGCAUCGGAACGUGCCCAGUAUUGGGGGAUAGCACGACGAAAGCCGGAUUAAUACCGCAUACGACCUGAGGUUGAAAGCGGUGGAUCGAAAGUGCUCGCGCGAUUGGAUCUGCCGAUGUCGGAUUAGCUAGUUGGUUGGGUAAAGGCUUACCAAGGCGACGAUCCGUAGCUGGUCUGAGAGGGCGACCAGCCACACUGGAACUGAGACACGGCCCAGACUCCUACGGGAGGCAGCAGUGGGGAAUUUUGGACAAUGGGCGCAACCCUGAUCCAGCCAUGCCGCGUGAGGGAAGAAGGCCUUCGGGUUGUAAACCGCUUUUGUUCGGGAAGAACUACUGUGGGCUAAUCCCCCGGGGGGAUGACGGUACCGGAAGAAUAAGCACCGGCUAACUACGUG
rnacentral:rRNA from 1 species